GUUGAAUUUAUCAAUUGAAUGGAAUUUAGAAUGAACUUUACUGAGUUUGACCAUUAACUGUGAUUAAUGAUAGUACAAGAACAUGUCUGAUAUUAAAGUGGGACAACUUGUGCCCAUAUCAAUACCCUCAUCCAACCGGUACACACGAUUGCCGUAACGUACAUUAAUGAUGCCAAGAAGAAAAUACAUAGCAUCAAUCAUUUAAUUACAUCUCCGGUUAGAAUAUAUCUUGCAUAUUUACCUUUGUCAUUUGAAAAGAGUCUGUAUUUGAGUUGCAGCAACUGCAAUCAGAUUUUUCAAACGAUCAAAUAACCAAACAGGAACACGUUUGCUUGAUAUGAUUGUUUGAUCGUUUAGUGUAAAGAGUUGAAAAGUCAAAACCGUCAACAGAAUUAAUGGAAAAAGGAAAAUGAAAAGCACACGCAUUAUUCAUUUCUUGAAAGGUUAGAGCAGAG
rnacentral:lncRNA from 1 species